AAUUUCGGUUAAAUAAUGCCACAGGAAAUACAAAUUUGUUAAAAUAAUGUCAAAGAACAUACAAAACUUGUUUUUAGCCAAAAAAAAAAAUAUCAACUCUUUUAUAUAUAAAUGCCAAAGAACAUACACAUUUCUAUAAUAUAUCAUGUAUUCAAAGUAUAUGGUUUAAAAUCAAUAUACCACUUUUAUAAAACAUGUACAACAAAUUAUAGUGGGAUGAAGGUAAGAUGAAAUUGAAAAUUAGUAUCCCACUAAUUUUUAAUGGAUGUUCAAUGUGAAAAAUUUAAUAAACCUUUUACCAAUGGUUCCACUAAAAUAAUAUAAUAUCUAAAACUUCUAGAUAACAGCAAAUAAAAUUAAAAAAAAUAUCUAAAAUUAAAUAAUCUAAAUAGGAGCAAUUCAUCAAAUAUUGCUUUAUAACGUUCUGAUCUGAUAUGUGGCUUUUUGUUUUCAUAAAAAAAAAUCAGCUGUCUUGCUAUGCUUGGACAUG
rnacentral:lncRNA from 1 species